rnacentral:rRNA from 1 species
GACGAACGCUGGCGGCGUGCUUAACACAUGCAAGUCGAACGGAAAGGCCCUGCUUUUGUGGGGUGCUCGAGUGGCGAACGGGUGAGUAACACGUGAGUAACCUGCCCUUGACUUUGGGAUAACUUCAGGAAACUGGGGCUAAUACCGGAUAGGAGCUCCUGCUGCAUGGUGGGGGUUGGAAAGUUUCGGCGGUUGGGGAUGGACUCGCGGCUUAUCAGCUUGUUGGUGGGGUAGUGGCUUACCAAGGCUUUGACGGGUAGCCGGCCUGAGAGGGUGACCGGCCACAUUGGGACUGAGAUACGGCCCAGACUCCUACGGGCGGCCGCAGUGGGGACUCUUGCACCCUGGGCGGAAGCCUGAUGCAGCAACGCCGCGUGCGGGAUGACGGCCUUCGGGUUGUAAACCGCUUUCGCCUGUGACGAAGCGUGAGUGACGGUAAUGGGUCAAGACGCACCGGCUCGCUACGUG